UACGGAGGUUCCAAGCGUUGUUCGGAAUUACUGGGCGUAAAGGGAGCGCAGGCGGGCAAGUCAGUCUGAAGUGAAAUCCCGGGGCUCAACCUCGGACUUGCUUCGGAUACUGCUUGUCUUGAGUUCGUGAUAGGAAGACGGAAUUCAGGGUGUAGCGGUGAAAUGCACAGAUAUCCUGAGGAACACCGGCAGCGAAAGCGGUCUUCUGGCGCGAAACUGACGCUGAGGCUCGAAAGCGUGGGUAGCAAACGGGAUUAGAUACCCCUGUA
rnacentral:rRNA from 1 species